rnacentral:lncRNA from 1 species
AAGGAAGGCCAUGAUUUCAGCUCUCUGGGAUUUGAGACAAAGAGGCCCCUUUUCUUUCAUUUUAUCUUUUCAUGUCUCUUCUUGCCAUGUACCCACAUGAUUGAGUGUGGGCUGAGGGUGAAUCCAAGAAGGGCUUUGUUUUGUGGUCAGUACAGGCUUUGGUCCACAGAGACAACAAUACUUUCAAUACUCUUUUGUUCUGCCCCAGAGGAGCUCAACACAGAAUUGCCUAGAACAAGAAACUGGUGAGAGAAGCUGCAGCCUGUUGAGACUCCACAAGACUGAAGAUAUGAAAAGAGGAAAUAUGCAUGAAUGCCCGCACGGAGAACCACCCCCACCUGCUGCUCCCGCUCUAAUGAUCACGCCCAUUAUCAACUGGGGGAUGGCUCUGUGCCUUGUCCUUGCAUUACAUGGACCAAGAACACUUCACAGGACUCAGAGAGUAACACUGAAGAAUGCAGUUUACUUACAUCUUUUUCUGUUUGACAGAAGACAGUUAUUAGAACCCGAAAGGAAGAAGCUAUACGACUGGGGACACAUGUCUUAGAAGCACACUCAUUAGAUAAAGUGUCGCAUACUCUUUGAUAAGACAACCCUUACAAGAUUUUUGCCCAGCGAAAGUGGCACGUGGAACAUGGAAUGACAUUUCAUAAAGAUAAAUCCAGAGAUUAGUGCUGAAGACUACACCCCUGUGUAGUCCCACACAGGCUACCCCAGACCAGCCUGGCGGGCUCUGCACUAGGCCUCCCAUCAGGCGAGAGCCAACGCUCCUCAGCCCGGCUCCACCUCAUUCAGAAGAAAGUGUGUCUCCCGG